rnacentral:rRNA from 1 species
CGCGUAGGCGGGUCUGUUAGUCAGAGGUGAAAUCCUGCGGCUCAACCGUAGAACUGCCUUUGAUACUGCAGAUCUUGAGUAUGGAAGAGAGUGACGGAAUUCCAGGUGUAGUGGUGAAAUACGUAGAUAUCUGGAAGAACACCAGUGGCGAAGGCGGUCAUUUGGACCAUUACUGACGCUGAGGCGCGAAAGCGUGGGGAGCAAACA